GGAAGAGCAGGAUGUCAAGCCCAAACCAAGACUGUGUGCUACAGAGAAGCCCCAUGGGAUUUGACUUCCAUUUGGGUUAGGUCCAACAGAAACCUGGCACAUUUAUCAACCGGGUGUCCCCUGGAGGUCCAGGAGAAAGUGCUGGCCUCCUGCAAGGAGGCUCUGAGAUCAUCGGAAAAGGAGGCAUUGUGGGAUAUAAUGUGUAAAUGUGGACUGUUGCUUGCUUCCUUCCAAGCUCCCGUCCAAGCUCUUUGUUUCCGCUUCGAACUUCUUGGAAUCCAGGAAGUAAAUAAAUAUGUAUUGUUCAAAGAAGCGUAUAUGCUCAGUACAGUGAUGGAUGGUGGGUUUGCAUAAUAUAAACUUUUAUUUAGUCCAAUAAAAAAUAACUUGUACAUUUAACAUAUAAUAACAUACUUUUUUUUAUUUAUUUAUUUUAUAAAACUACCUUGUUUGUUGCAAUGAAUUUGAAAAGUACUUUAAAGAUGAUUAUGCUGAAAGGUGUACAUGACGUUCUCCUUUUGGUAUCAACACAAAGCUUCCUUAUAUAGUGUAGAAGCAAAUGUAACUAUACCAUGAGAGCUGUAGAAUAAAUGGCUAUUGGACAGA